rnacentral:RNase_P_RNA from 1 species
GCGGAGGGCUGGAUGGCCGCGGUCCCGGAAGGGGUCGAGGAAAGUCCGGACUCCCGUUGGCAAGGGUGCCGGGUAACGCCCGGCGGGGGCAACCCCAGGGAAAGCGCCACAGAGAAGAGACUGCCCCUGCCGCGAACGAAGGUUCGCCUUCGCGAACGGGAGGGGUAACGGUGAAACGGUGGGGCAAGAGCCCACCGCGGGACUGGCAACAGGACCGGCACGGCAAGCCCCACCCGGAGCAAUGCCAAAUAGGGGCCUCGCGCGGGGCUGGUCGGGAGACCGAUACCGCCGCAGGGACGCCAACGCCCGAGAGGCCCGGGUUGGCAGCUUGACCGCCGUGGCGACACGGUCGGCAGAGGAAUGGUCAUCCAUGGCCGCAAGGCCAGGACAGAAUCCGGCUUACAGGCUCUCCGCGCAA